UCCUUACCGACCAGGCUAUCCCGGCCAUCUAUUAAUAUUUGUAAAAAACUGAGAAAUGAAAGUUUUGUUUUGCAUCUGUUGAUAUAACCUUUCUCUUACAGCCUUCCCCGAGGGAAGCCUCAUCAGCCCGGACAAGACCCCUUCCACCUCUUUACCGGAAUCGAAGCAGACCUGCAGCAGCAAUCCGGAUGAUUCAAGGGCGACCAAACCGGAGCAGAGUUGGAAGAAUUGUUAGACCCAGGAACAGAAGGGUACAAGUCAUUGUACGACGAUAUCCACUGGAACUGUCACUCCAACACCCGACUUUGCGACAGUAAGUUUUUUCCCCUGUCAUUUGUUUGCUUUUUUGCGACAAUCUGUGUAAUAUUGCUUUUGUGAAAAUUGCUUUUGUGACAGAUCUAUGUCUAAAUUGAGGAAGUGGCCUGAAAAAUUGUGAUGCUAUGCUUUUGGAUCAUCUUCAGGGUUGUUUCCCAUAUUGUCACCAAUAGAUUAUUAUGC